rnacentral:tRNA from 2 species
GGGCCAGUAGCAUAACCUGGACAGUGCAUCCGGCUUCGGACCGGAGUAUCGGGGUUCAAAUCCUCGCUGGCUCG